rnacentral:rRNA from 1 species
UGAAUAAAACCCAAAGGCGAAAUGAAAGUAAAAAGUUGAGUAUAUGAUAAAAAGAUUUAUCUUUUUUUUCAUUACUCUCUUAAGGGAAGAUAAAAAUUUAAUUAAUAAUAUAUUUUAUAUAUUAUUAAUAUAAAUUUUUAGCACUCCCAGGGCGCUUGUUUCACGCUUUGCGUGUCAAUGCGCACCUAGAGCGUACACGCUGAUACCCGAAAGAUGGUGAACUAUGCCUGGCCAGGACGAAGCCAGGGGAAACCCUGGUGGAGGUCCGCAGCGAUUCUGACGUGCAAAUCGAUCGUCGGAGCUGGGUAUAGGGGCGAAAGACCAAUCGAACCAUCUAGUAGCUGGUUCCCUCUGAAGUUUCCCUCAGGAUAGCUUGCGCUCGGUUGAGAAGAGUCUCAUCCGGUAGAGCGAAUGAUUAGAGGCAUUGGGGUCGAAACGACCUCAACCUAUUCUCAAACUCCAAAUAGAUGAGACCCCCGGCUUUCUUAAAAUUGAAGCCGUGGGAAUAGGAUCAGAGUGCCAAGUGGGCCAAUUUUGGUAAGCAGAACUGGCGCUGUGGGAUGAACCAAACGCAGAGUUAAGGCGCCCAAAUUGACGCUCAUGUGAAACCAUGAAAGGCGUUGGUUGCUUAAGACAGCAGGACGGUGGCCAUGGAAGUUGGAAUCCGUAAGGGU